GUGGAUUAGAUACCCUGGUAGUCCACACCGUAAACGUUGGGCGCUAGGUGUGGGAUCCCAUCCACGGGUUCCGUGCCGUAGCUAACGCAUUAAGCGCCCCGCCUGGGGAGUACGGCCGCAAGGCUAAAACUCAAAGGAAUUGACGGGGGCCCGCACAAGCGGCGGAGCAUGCGGAUUAAUUCGAUGCAACGCGAAGAACCUUACCUGGGUUUGACAUACAUCCUGCCGCCUCAGAGAUGGGGCUUCUUUUGGGGGUGUACAGGUGGUGCAUGGUCGUCGACAGCU
rnacentral:rRNA from 1 species